rnacentral:rRNA from 1 species
UGAGGAAUAUUGGUCAAUGGGCGGGAGCCUGAACCAGCCAAGUCGCGUGAAGGAAGAAGGAUCUAUGGUUCGUAAACUUCUUUUGCAGGGGAAUAAAGUGCAGGACGUGUCCUGUUUUGUAUGUACCCUGAGAAUAAGGAUCGGCUAACUCCGUGCCAGCAGCCGCGGUAAUACGGAGGAUCCGAGCGUUAUCCGGAUUUAUUGGGUUUAAAGGGUGCGUAGGUGGUUUGAUAAGUCAGCGGUGAAAGUUUGCAGCUUAACUGUAAAAAUGCCGUUGAAACUGUCGGACUUGAGUGUAAAUGAGGUAGGCGGAAUGCGUGGUGUAGCGGUGAAAUGCAUAGAUAUCACACAGAAUAUCGAUUGCGAAGGCAGCUCACAAAGCCAUUAUUGACGCUGAUGCACGAAAGUGUGGGGAUCAAACA